rnacentral:rRNA from 1 species
AAUCAACGCUGGCGGCGUGCCUAACACAUGCAAGUCGAACGCGAAAAGGGCUUCGGCUCUUAGUAGAGUGGCGAACGGGUGAGUAACACGUGGGUGACCUACCUUUGAAUGGGGGAUAACGUCCCGAAAGGGACGCUAAUACCGCAUAACAUCCUGCCUUUGAACAGGUGGAGAUCAAAGCCGGGGAUCGCAAGACCUGGCGUUUGGAGAGGGGCCCGCGUCUGAUUAGCUAGUUGGUGAGGAACGGCCCACCAAGGCGACGAUCAGUAUCCGGCCUGAGAGGGCGGACGGACACACUGGGACUGAGACACGGCCCAGACUCCUACGGGAGGCAGCAGUGGGGAAUUGUUCGCAAUGGGCGCAAGCCUGACGACGCAACGCCGCGUGGAGGAUGAAGGUCUUCGGAUUGUAAACUCCUGUUGCUCGGGACGAAAAGCUUCGACCUAACACGUCGAAGUCUGACGGUACC